rnacentral:rRNA from 1 species
UACGGAGGAUGCGAGCGUUAUCCGGAUUUAUUGGGUUUAAAGGGUGCGUAGGCGGACUGUCAAGUCAGCGGUAAAAUUGAGAGGCUCAACCUCUUCCCGCCGUUGAAACUGGUGGUCUUGAGUGGAUGAGAAGUACGCGGAAUGCGUGGUGUAGCGGUGAAAUGCAUAGAUAUCACGCAGAACUCCGAUUGCGAAAGCGGCUCUCUGGCCUGUAACUGACACUGAGGCUCGAAAGCGUGGGGAGCAAACAGG